rnacentral:pre_miRNA from 1 species
CAAAUACUCCCUCCGUCCGGUAAUACUUCUCAUCAAAAUGGAUAAAAGGAAAUGUAUCGAGACGUAUUUUAGUUUUAGAUACAUCUAUUUUUAUCCAUUUUGAUGACAAGUAUUUUCGGACGGAGGGAGUAGAAA